UACAGAGGGUGCGAGCGUUGUCCGGAAUCACUGGGCGUAAAGGGCGCGUAGGCGGCUUGAUAAGCGUGCGGUGAAAGCCCGGGGCUCAACCCCGGGUCGGCCGUGCGAACUGUCGAGCUGGAGCACUGUAGAGGCAGGUGGAAUUCCGGGUGUAGCGGUGGAAUGCGUAGAGAUCCGGAAGAACACCGGUGGCGAAGGCGGCCUGCUGGGCAGUAGCUGACGCUGAUGCGCGACAGCGUGGGGAGCAAACAGG
rnacentral:rRNA from 1 species